rnacentral:rRNA from 1 species
AUACGUAGGUGACAAGCGUUAUCCGGAUUUACUGGGCGUAAAGGGCGUGUAGGCGGUCUUGCAAGUCAGAAGUGAAAUUCCUGAGCUCAACUCGGGCGCUGCUUCUGAAACUGCAGGACUUGAGUGCUGGAGGGGAUAGCGGAAUUCCUAGUGGAGCGGUAAAAUGCGCAGAUAUUAGGAAGAACACCGCUGGCGAGGGCGGUUAUCUGGACAGUAACUGACGCUGAGGCGCGAAAGCGUGGGGAGCAAACAGGAUUAGAGACCCUGGAAGUCCGCGCCGUAAACGAUGAUUACUCGGUGUAGGGGGUAUCGACUCCCUCUGUGCCGCAGUUAACGCAUUAAGGAAUCCACCUGGGGAGUACGGCCGCAAGGUUAAAACUCAAAGGAAUUGACGGGG